AAUGAACGCUGGCGGCAGGCCUAAAACAUGCAAGUCGAACGCCCUAGCAAUAGCGAGUGGCGCACGGGUGAGUAACAUGUGGGAAUAUGCCUUUUGGUACGGUACAACGUUUGGAAACGAACGCUAAUACCGUAAGGUCCCCUACGGGUAAAGAUUUAUCGCCAAAAGAUUAGCCCGGACUAGAUUAGCUAGUUGGUAAGGUAAUGGCUGGCCAAGGCGACGAUCUAUAGCUGUUCUGAGAGGAAGAUCAGCCACACUGGGACUGAGGCACGGCCCAGACUCCUACGGGAGGCAGCAGUUAGGAAUAUUGGACAAUGGGCGCAAGCCUGAUCCAGCCAUGCCGCGUGAGUGAUGAAGGCCUUCGGGUUGUAAAGCUCUUUAGCCGACGAAUAUAAUGACUGUAGUCGGAGAAUAAGCCCCGGCUAACUUCGUGCCAGCCGCCGCCGUAAUAC
rnacentral:rRNA from 1 species